AGAGUUUGAUCAUGGCUCAGAACGAACGCUGGCGGCAGGCCUAACACAUGCAAGUCGAGCGGCACCUUCGGGUGUAGCGGCGGACGGGUUAGUAACGCGUGGGAAUAUGCCCAGAUCUAAGGAAUAGCCACUGGAAACGGGAGAGUAAUACCGUAUGAGCCCCCCUUUAGCGAUAUUGCGGGGGAAAGAUUUAUCGCCAUAGGAUGGGCCCGCGUCGGAUUAGCUAGUUGGUAGGGUAACGGCCUACCAAGGCCACGAUCCGUAGCUGGUCUUAGAGGAUGAUCAGCCACACUGGGACUGAGACACGGCCCAGACUCCUACGGGAGGCAGCAGUGGGGAAUAUUGGACAAUGGGCGCAAGCCUGAUCCAGCCAUGCCGCGUGAGUGACGACGGCCUUAGGGUUGUAAAGCUCUUUUGGCGGGGACGAUAAUGACGGUACCCGCAGAAUAAGCCCCGGCUAACUUCGUGCCAGCAGCCGCGGUAAUACGAAGGGGGCUAGCGUUGUUCGGAAUCACUGGGCGUAAAGCGCACGUAGGCGGAACUGAUCAGUCAGGGGUGAAAUCCCGGGGCUCAACCCCUGAACUGCCUUUGAUACUCUCAGUCUAGAGUCCGGAAGAGGUGAAUGGAACUCCUAGUGUAGAGGUGAAGUUCGUAGAUAUUAUUGAAGAACACCAGUGGCGAAGGCGAUUCACUGGUCCGGUACUGACGCUGAGGUGCGAAAGCGUGGGGGGCAAACAGGAUUAGAUACCCUGGUAGUCCACGCCGUAAACGAUGAAUGCCAGCUGUUGGGCAGUAUACUGUUCAGUGGCGCAGCUAACGCAUUAAGCAUUCCGCCUGGGGAGUACGGUCGCAAGACUAAAACUCAAAGAAAUUGACGGGGGCCCGCACAAGCGGUGGAGCAUGUGGUUUCAUUCGAAGCAACGCGCAGAACCUUACCAGCUCUUGACAUCCCGAUCGCGGUUACCGGAGACGGUUUCCUUCAGCUAGGCUGGAUCGGUGACAGGUGCUGCAUGGCUGUCGUCAGCUCGAGUCGUGAGAUGUUGGGUUAAGUCCCGCAACGAGCGCAACCCUCGCCUUUAGUUGCCAGCAUUUAGUUGGGCACUCUAGAGGGACUGCCGGUGAUAAGCCGGAGGAAGGUGGGGAUGACGUCAAGUCCUCAUGGCCCUUAUGGGUUGGGCUACACACGUGCUACAACGGCGGCGACAGAGGGCAGCGACCCCGCGAGGGUGAGCAAAUCUCCAAAAGCCGUCUCAGUUCGGAUUGUUCUCUGCAACUCGAGAGCAUGAAGUUGGAAUCGCUAGUAAUCGAAGAACAGCAUGCUGCGGUGACUACGCUCCCGGGCCUUGUACACACCGCCCGUCACAUCAUGGGAGUUGGCUUUACCCGAAGGUAGUGCGCUAACCUUUGGAGGCAGCCGACCACGGUAAGGUCAGCGACUGGGGUGAAGUCGU
rnacentral:rRNA from 1 species